AAGCAUUUAACAUAAAUUCUUAUAAGCCAAGAACUUCCCCAAAUAACGGGCCAAUUUCUACCAUUAUACAUACUAACAACUGUUUGAUUAAAUUAAAAAAAAUAUAAUUCAUUAUCCACACAGCCACGUAAAAUUGAAAUCAAAACAUGUAAAUAAGGAGAAAAGGGACCAAAGUAGCAGCCUGUAGUUGAUGGAAAAAAUAGACGAAAGAGUUAAAAUAUCGGACCUUUGGGUUGAAUUUGAGCCUCAAUUACAAUCAACUCGAAAAUUAGACAACUCUGGACCGAAAUGACCUCAGAACCGCCUCUCCGACAGCCUCGAACGACCUCAGAACCGCCUCUCCGACAGCCUCGAACGACCUCAGAACUCGUCGCCUCGAACGACCUCAGAACCGCCUCUCCGACAGCCUCGAAACUCGUCGGAAAACUAGAACUAGACCGUUGUUUCGAGGUUGUUUUUGGCUAUUUUUCGAGCUGGAUUUUGGACUAUUUUUGCUGGUUUUUAGGAGAGGAAGGCAACUGGUUGAUGCUACUGCUGAUGCUAUUAGAAUUGCUAAAGAUAUCGGGAAAGUACAUCAAGAAGAUCCAAAGCAGCAGAAGGUUCCAACCCAUUGUCGUUGCAUCUCAACCUUUUAAUCAAGUGUGCGGCUGAAGCUCUCCAAAAAUGAGAGAGUUUGUGGCUGAAUUUUUGAAAUUUUUCCGCUAGGUUAGGGUGUCUUCAUUUUUUUGUUCUUUGAUUUCUGAAGAAGAUCAACGAUGGACUCGAUUUCCUAAGGUCUGCUACUGUUAAAAAUGGAGAAGACGAUCCAAAAGGGGUUGGGUUUUUUUAUUGAGUUCAGCGGCAGAUGUCAGUAUAUUUAAGCGUAUUUUUUGUGUGUUU
rnacentral:lncRNA from 1 species